GACCCAUCUGGAUAUCUCAGUUGGUUAGAGCGUGGUGCUGAUAACACCAAGGUUGCAGGUUUGAUCCCUGUAUGGGACA
rnacentral:tRNA from 1 species